rnacentral:rRNA from 1 species
AUUGAACGCUGGCGGCGUGCCUAACACAUGCAAGUCGAGCGGUAACAGGUGUAGCAAUACAUGCUGACGAGCGGCGGACGGGUGAGUAACGCUUGGGAAUCUGCCUAUUAGUGGGGGACAACCCGGGGAAACUCGGGCUAAUACCGCAUACGCUCUACGGAGGAAAGCCGGGACCNCAAGGCCUGGCGCUAAUAGAUGAGCCCAAGUCAGAUUAGCUAGUUGGAGGGUAACGGCCUACCAAGGCUACGAUCCGUAACUGGUCUGAGAGGACGACCAGUCACACCGGAACUGAGACACGGUCCGGACUCCUACGGGAGGCAGCAGUGGGGAAUAUUGGACAAUGGGGGAAACCCUGAUCCAGCGACGCCGCGUGGGUGAAGAAGGCCUGCGGG